GUGAAUUGCCGGUUCUGCUGCACGGAGGGAUAAUCCACUUAACGGUACAUUCCAGUGGGAGUAUCCCUCUCGUGCAGCAGUGCCUGAUGGGAGAAAGGGUCUGAAUGUUAAGUCCCCCAUGUAGUCCCCUACUGAAAUACCCCUGCUAUGACAGUAUGGAAACCCCUUGCAUGGGGACUUGCAUAAAUACUGGAUGCUGUGAAUAAAAACCUCAGUUGACUCCCAGAACUGUGUUUCAUCCGGUUACUGGGGGAUUUGGGAUAUUGCCUUACUUUCCAGCGCUUUACUUUGGAUUACUUUCUUAACCAGCGGAGAAAUUGGGAUUUCAUAUUGCAGCUCCGCUACAAUUGGUGGCAAGCGACGGGAUCCAACCUUACAGCCGAAAAGCGUGGUUCGUGCAAUUGAAACUGCCAAACAGGAAAGGGAAUGGCAAUUGGAAUGCAACAAAAGAACCGAACGCAGAAGUGAAUGGAGACGGAUUAUGCUACAUUAAAACGGCAGACGUUAAAGGAACUGCUGGAAGCCAGAGGUAAAAUAGCCAGCAACAAAUCAAAAGCUGUGCUUAUUGCCGAACUGAUGGAGGGAGACAGAGCUCGCAA